rnacentral:snRNA from 1 species
GUGCUCGUUUCGGCAGCACAUAUACUAAAAUUGGAACGAUACAGAGAAGAUUAGCAUGGCCCCUGUGCAAGGAUGACAUGCAAAUUUGUGAAGCAUUCCAUAUUUAG